AAAUUUAAAAUUACCUUAAAUUUUGGGAUGUUACAAUCUUUCCCUCCUUUUAGAAACUUUCAUCCUUGAAAGUACUAAUUCUCAACAACUCUAUAAUAUCCCUGGGUAAUGAGCUCUCAUAUCAUCUUCUCGUUCUCAUGUCGCUUCUUUAACUCGAUGAUUCUGCCACAAUACUUUUACUAAUGAAAUUCCUCUAUUACGAAGCAUCAUCACUUCUCUAACCAGAAUCUCAACUGGUUGCACCACAUAGCUCAAAUUCUCGUCAAUCUCUAGUGGUUCAUAGUCCACUACAUGAGAUGGAUCUGCCACAUACUUUCUCAACAUCGAAACAUGGAAAACAUGGAAAACAUUAUGAAUUGCAGAGAGAAAUGGAGAGAGAAAUGGUGGUAAUGCUAAACGAUAUGCCACAACACCAAUUCUCUUUAAAAUCUCAAACGGUCCAACAAAACGAGGAUUUAACUUCACUUUCUUCUCAAAAUGCAUAACAUCCUUCAUAGUUGCUACCUGCAAGAACACCUUAUCUCCCACAUCAAACUCAAGGUUCUUUCACCUCAGAUCUGCAUAACUUUUUUUUUUCUACUUUGCGUUGUUUGCAUAAGUACUCUAAUAUUCUGAAUAAACUCAUUAGUAGACUAAACCAACUCAUAACCCAUCAAUCUCUGUUCACCAACCUCAUUCCAACAAACAGAAGUUCUACAACAUUUACCAUACAAAGCUUCAAACGGUGUCAUGCCAAUGGUAACCUGAAAACUGUUAUUAUAAGCAAACUCCAUCAAAUGUAAGUGAGAGUCCCAACUACCUGGAAACUCUAGAACACAAGCUCGUAGCAUAUCCUCUAAAACUUGGUUCAAACGUUCAGUUUGGCCAUCAGUCUGUGGGUGAAAGGUUGUACUAGAAAUCUAACCUCGUUCCCAUGGCAGUCUAAAGUCCCUUCCAAAACUUGGAAGUAAAAAGUGCAUCUCUGUUAGAGACAAUCAAUACGGGCACUCCAUGUAGUCUCACAAUCUCAAUCAAAUAUAAUUAUGCUCAUUUACUAGUAGUAUAAGUGGAUUUUUUUUUUUUUGAAAUGAAAUGUGUCGAUUUCGUAAGCCUAUCGACAAUAACCCAAAUCACUGUGUAACCCUUCAGGGUUUUAGGCAAUUAUAUAAUAAAAUUCAUAGAUACAUUCUCCCACUUCCACUCUAAUAUACUCAAAGGUUGCAACAAACCUGUUGGUUUCUAUCUUGGUGCUUUAACCUGCUAGCACACCAAGCACUUACUAAAAAGAUCUUCCAUUUCUCUCUUCAUAUUACGCUAGUAACAAACUCUUUUCAGAUCCGGAUACAUUUUUGUGCUACUUGGAUGCAUGAGAAAUGGGAAACUAUGAGUCUCAACCAAUAACGUUGUCUUAAUUGCAUUUUCUGUUGGCUCACAUAAUUCUCUCUCAAACAUAAGUUCAUCAUCAAAGGAUAUGGAAAACUCCUUAACUUGCCCUACUUCUACUAGGCAAUGCUUCUCAAUCAAAUAAGGAUCAAUGAAUUGAACCACAAGAAUUCUUUGUCUCAAGAUCGGAUGUACUGACAACUGAGCUAACUGUGAGGUGACUUCCCCCACUAAAACUACAAUCUCAGCUCUCUCGUGGUUUUUGUCUAAUGAAACCUGUCUGGUAAUAAGUGCUGUCAAAAUGUGAUACUUUUCUACAAAGAGCACCAACUUCCACAUUCGCCUUACCUAGAUGGUACAAAAUCUCACAAUCAUAGUCAUUUACUAACUGAAACCAUCUUUGCUAUCUCAUACUCAACUUCUUUUUGAGUGAAAAAGUAUUUUAUACUCUUUUGGUUAGAAAAUAUCUAUAUCUUUUCAUCAUACAUAUAGUGCCUUCAAAUCAUUAAUGUAAAAACCACAACUGUCAAUUCCAUAUCAUAAGUUGGACAAUUUUCCUCAUGACUCUUCAACUGACGAGGAGUACAAGCAACUACUUUAACUUGUUGAAUCAUAAUACCUUUUUAAACUUUCCUAAAAGCAUCACUAUAAAUUACGAAACUUUCUGAACCAUCAUGUACGGUAAGCACGGGAGUUGUACAAGCUUCUGCUUAAGAUUCUGAACACUAUCCUCAUAGGCUUUGUCCCAAACAAACAGAGUCCCUUUUCUUAGUUAACUGAGUCAAAGGAGUAGCUAUACGAGAAAAUUCUUAUACAAACCGUUAGUAAUAACCUGCUGAACCCAAAAAGACUACGAACCUCACUGACUAUGAAAGGUUGAGGCUAACUGGUAACGACUUCAAUCUUUUAUGAGAUCCACAUAAAUGUCAUCUCUAGAUACCACAUGGCUUGGAAAGAUACUUGGCCUCAUCCAAAACUCACAUUUUGAAAACUUUGCAUACAAUUUGUUGACUCGAAGAGCCUCUAAAACCAUGUUAAAUGCUCCUCAUGCGCUGUCUCUAUUUUGGAAUAAAUUAAGAUAUCGUCAAUAGAUACAAUCACGAAAGUGUCUAAGAGAUCGUUAAACACUUUGUUCAUCAAGUCGUAAACAUUGUUUGAGCAUUUGCCAACUCAAAAGACAUCAUAAUGAACUCAUGAUGUCCAUAUCACGAACGAAAAUCUGCCAUAGGAAUGUCACUGUUCUCUAAUCCUCAACAAGUCAUAACCUUAAUGUAAUUCAAUCUUAAAAAACACGGACUUAUUGCAGUUGAUCAAACAAAUCCUCAUUCAUUGGUAAAAGAUAUUUAUUCUUAACCGACACCUUAUUCAACUUUCUACAAUCAAAACAUAAGUGCAUCGACCCAUCUUUCUUCUUAAUAAACAAAAAUUGGUGCACCCCAAGAUAACAUACUUCGUCGAAUGUAGUCCUUGUCAAACAUUUCUUUCAAUUGCACCUUCAAAUCUUUCAACUCUGUUGGGGCCAUUUUGUAUGAAGCUUUAGAUAUAGGAACGAGUCUAACUCUAUCUCAAUAGCAAGACCAAUUUCUGUUUAGCGCGGUAAUCUUAGAAACUCUUCUAGAAAAAUAUCAUAAUACUUUUUCACCACUAAUUCAAAUAACAAAGAAACAUCGACUUCUCUGGUGUCUACCACACUAGUCAAAUACAACAGGUACCCUGGUCAAGCAACUUACUAACCUUCAUAGCUGGGAUAACUUUUAGCGAAACGAUAGUUCCAACCUCUUUGUACUUGAAACUAGCCUCUGGAGAAGGAUUAGAAACUACAUUUGCGCUGAACAUUUUAUGUUUACAUGGUUAAACUACAUUCCAAUUUUCAAACUCCAAACUAGUAACUUUUCAUUCACGAGAAACUCAAAAUUGUUUCUUAAAGUCACAUCAAGACAACCAUGCUCAUCUUCCUUGUUUCUUUUCCAAUACCUCCAUUCUAAAACCAUUUAAUGUGUUUCGUAUAAACUUGACCGUGUAUUUAGUCCUCGUUAAAACCACCUACAUAACGUAUUUUUCUUAGAUUUCCAAUCACAAAACAGACAAUUUCGCUAACAACGUCUUACUUUUCUACUACUCGACCACUCCUUUGAACACCUCUACAUGACAACAUUUUUCCUAAAUUUCACCAUUAAAUCUUUCACCAUUAAAUCAGAACAUUCAUGUAAUUCUAGUUUAACUUAGGCAAGGUCAUAUACAUAAACCAUACAUAUAAGCAUAAAGCAUACCUGACGAGAGACGAAGGGUCGCGUUAGCCAUAGGGACACAAAAACAUAGACUUACAUCGUAAGUCGGUCUACAGAACCUAAAACUUAGGCUCUGAUACCAACUGUAACGAUCCAACUUUUCUAAGUAAGUCGAGAUCGUUAAUUUUUAACAAAUAAAGACUUUGAUUAAUAUAAAACAAAAUGUAAACAAUUAAAAAAAAAAACAUCUUCAAGUCAGGCCUGAUUUUUAAACAUUCAAGAAAACAUAAAAUAGUACUAUUUACAACAAACGUUUGUAAACUAAAUUUCAAUUCAUUUUAAACCUCACAAGAACCCAUAAGCGGAGCAAAAACACGUUUUCUAUGGCAUCACGCUUCCUUCCUGCCCCUCGCCUGUUUGCCGCCUUUAUUACCUUUGCCUGAAAAUUAAACAUAAGAAGGGUGAGUAUUUUAAAUACUCAGUAAGAGACCCUCUACUGGUCCCGUCAGGAGAAAAUAAAUUAUUAACGAUCUAUUGGGACACCCUGUACAGUCACAGUCUUGUGAUCCCGUAGGAUACAUAUCUCAGUCUAACGCCCCGAGGGACGUACAUAUCAGUCUAACGCCCCGAGGGACGUACAUAUCAGUCUAGUGUUCUGCCAGAAACACAUAUCAGUCAAAUGCUCCCGAAGGUGCACAAUAAAUUGGUGAUCCCGUGGGACACCUACAAGGUAAACAUCCCAAUACAAUCUAACAAUUUAUCCCCUCAUUCCAUUCAACCCAUCUUUCAGUUACUUCAAGUCACAAAAGUUAUUUCUUUCAACAUCCUAACAGUCAACUUAUUUUACUACAGUCAUAUGUCUGUCAAUAAUAUGCUAAUACAUCAGUCAAUCCACUAUACAGUCAAUGCACCCCUCAGUUCACCAGCACACAGUCAUACUUUAGCGUAAUCAUACACCCAAUCUAAACGAGAAUCUCAUACAAACACAAUCUCUACAAUCUCCGUCUUGUCCACAUACACACAUUUAUAUAUAGAUUCCAUGACAAUCACCGACAUACAUUCGACGUCAAGUCUACUUCAAUUCAUAUACAUUCAUAUAUAUUUUCAAGUCAACCCCAGUAUACAUUCAACACACAUACAGUUCACAAUCACAGUUCACAAUCACAAUUGAGUCCAGUAGAAAAUCCCUUACCUGGAUCUUUAUGUAAAAUUCCUUAGUCGAACUAACUUCAACAAACAAACCCCAAGAGUAAAGAAUCGAACUCCAACAAAGCUUAAGGCGUAACUCAAGGACACUAACUCCAAAUCACCGAUGUCGCCUUCAAGAACAAAGAUCAAUUCAACCAAUUAAACAACAUCACAUCUUAAUGUAUUUACAAAUGUAAGACCAUAUUACCGAACAAUCUCAUCCUUACCAAUAUCUUGUAACAAGACUUUGACAAUCGACGUUAAAUAGAAGUUCCCGCAGGAUCUACACAAAAGACAUCGUGCAAAACACUUUUGCACGCGAACUGGUCCGCGAUUCGUAAAUGGGACAGCGGGUAUCGACGAAGGCAGAACGGUUCGGACGUUCAACAGCAGUUACGCGCGGACGGGAGUAGCCCGGCAACGUAGCCGAAUUCGUGCGAUGCGGCAUGACCUGCGCGUCGGCGAGGCUGUUCGUGACUGAGGCGUGCGACUUGCCUCGCGGACGGAGAUAGAGACGGCGGAGACGGUUGCAGAACCGUGGCUUCGACAGAGACAGAACCGGCUGAGACGGCUGGGCAGCGGCGGAAGAGCAACGGCGCCGCAGAUCUGGACUGGCAACGGCGCGAUCUUGCUUCGCGGCUGGGCUGCGGACGGAAGAAGAAAGUGGAAGGAAAGGACUGGCGGCUGGCUGCGACUGGCUGCGAUUGGCUGCGGCGGGACGGGAAGAAGAAGAUAGAGGUGGUGGUUGCGGCGGAAAGAAAAACGGAAGGGAAGGGAGGCGACGGUUUGCGAACGGGAGAGAAGGGGGAAGGGAUCGACGCGCACGCAGAAGAAGAAGGGAGAAAAGAAAAGAAAAAGAAAAAGAAGAAAAGUAAAAUAAUAAAGAAAUUUUGUAAUAUUAAAAUAAUAUAUAAAUAAAAUAAAAUAUAUAUAUAUAUAUAUAUAUAUAUAUAUAUAUAUAUAUAUAUAUAUAUAUAUAUAUAUUUACCUUUUCUUUGGGCAUUACAAUCUUCCCUCCUUAAGAAACUUUCGUCCUCGAAAGUUCUAAUCCUGAAAUAACUCUGAAUAACGAGUCCUCAUCUCUUCUUCUCGCUCCCAUGUCGCCUCUUCAAUUCGAUGUUUCUGCCACAAAACCUUUACUAAUGGAAUGCUUCUAUUACGAAGCAUCUUUACCUCUCUAGCCAGAAUCUCCACAGGUUGUUCUACAUAGCUCAAAUGCUCAUCAAUCUCCAAGGGUUCAUAGUCCACUACAUGAGAUGUAUCGGCCACAUACUUCCUCAACAUCGAAACAUGGAAAACAUUAUGAACUGCAGAGAGAGAUGGUGGUAAUGCCAAGCGAUACGCCACAACACCAACCCUCUCUAAGAUCUCAAAUGGUCCAACAAAACGAGGACUUAACUUUCCUUUCUUCUCAAAACGCAUAACACCCUUCAUAGGUGCUACCUUCAAGAAUACCUUUUCUCCCACAUCGAACUUAAGGUCUUUUCGCCGUACAUCCGCAUAACUCUUCUGUCUACCCUGCGCUGUUUGCAUACGUG
rnacentral:lncRNA from 1 species